AAGGGCUGGCAGUGGCAGGCAACAUGUGUUCCAGUUCCACUCCGGUUGAAGUUUUCUCAACUUUGUUUGCAGGAUGGCCAAAUUUCGAAAAGAUAAGAGCACCACAUCUCCCAUGUUCUUCAAGCACUGUGGUUUCUCCUUAGACCAGGACAAUCUUCCCUGAGUGACACCAGGAGCUUCACCAUAGGAGACCCCAAAAGGGAGUUGUGCCUUAAAGUCACGCCUUGUAAGAUAUCAUCACAAAGCUGACCUUGUUGGGGGAAGGCUCUGGGUGACGCUGAGGACACAUUGUUGACGGAUCAUGACCUCUGACAUCCUCAGGCACCGCAAAGAUGCUGCUCUUCGAGGACUUCCAGUAUUUCUCUGUGAGGACCCCAAGGAACUUUUCAAAGAGUGCCUUGAGGCCGAUGCAGAUGGUGUGGCUCUCCAGGGUGUGGCUGUGGGCAUUCUAUAUGUUCGUGAAGACUGUGGUCCAGGUACAUCUACGCGAGUGCAAAACAUUGCCGUCAUCCUCGAGGAGAGUUGUUUUGCAAGAUAUCCCAGAUACCCCAACUGCUCUGGCAUACCUUUUUGGCUUCCUUUAUGCCCUGAAUAUCUCCUACCCAAAGGCUCUGAAGUAUACCUUCGAUACUUUGCAAAAUGUCUUCAUGGAGAUUUGUCUCAAAUGUACACGGCGUGUACAAUCUCUGAAAAACAAAC